GUAAAAUUGUAAUUUCUGUAUUGAGAUACACCCGUUUUAAUUAAUAAUUGUUUUUAUGUGAAAUGGUCAUGUCUGUUUGACUUGAGAGCAGUUCGGUCCUUCAGAUAAUUUGUGUGUCAUGAACGUAGGAGUAGCUGAGGAUUCUGCUCCAGAUGUAUUCAGUCAGCAGAGCUGUGAGGGACCAGGAGUCCUGCCAGGGGCCGUGACGGCCCUCUGGGUCACGCCUCACAGGGUUCUUCACAGUCAGCUUCGGGAAAUCAAGCUCAGCAGCGAGCUGAGUGCCAUUCAGAAACACACAGAGCACGGGCCUAGCAGACCCUGGGUCCACCAGGCGCUCCACCGUUGGGAACAGGAAGGGUGAAGACCCAAAGUCUACCGAAAGGCUCGUGAAGGUAAGAAACACUGGAAUUCUGUAAAUCUGCAGUUCUGUGGUAUUUCGGGGACGAAUCACUCC
rnacentral:lncRNA from 1 species